rnacentral:tRNA from 1 species
GGAGAGGUGGCUGAGUGGUUGAAAGCACCGCACUCGAAAUGCGGCAUACGGGCAACUGUAUCGGGGGUUCGAAUCCCCCCCUCUCCGCCA